rnacentral:rRNA from 1 species
AGGUAGCUUGCUACUGAUCUUAGCGGCGGACGGGUGGGUAAUACUUAGGAAUCUGGCUAUUAGUGGGGGACAACAUUUCGAAAGGGCUGCUAAUACCGCAUACGUCCUACGGGAGAAAGCAGGGGAUCUUCGGACCUUGCGCUAAUAGNUGAGCCUAAGUCGGAUUAGCUAGUUGGUGGGGUAAAGGCCUACCAAGGCGACGAUCUGUAGCGGGUCUGAGAGGAUGAUCCGCCACACUGGGACUGAGACACGGCCCACACUCCUACGGGAGGCAGCAGUGGGGAAUAUUGGACAAUGGGGGGAACCCUGAUCCAGCCAUGCCGCGUGUGUGAAGAAGGCCUUUUGGUUGUAAAGCACUUUAAGCGAGGAGGAGGCUACCGAGAUUAAUACUCUUGGAUAGUGGACGUUACUCGCAGAAUAAGCACCGGCUAACUCUGUGCCAGCAGCCGCGGUAAUACAGAGGGUGCAAGCGUUAAUCGGAUUUACUGGGCGUAAAGCGUGCGUAGGUGGCCAAUUAAGUCGGAUGUGAAAUCCCCGAGCUUAACUUGGGAAUUGCAUUCGAUACUGGUUAGCUAGAGUGUGGGAGAGGAUGGUAGAAUUCCAGGUGUAGCGGUGAAAUGCGUAGAGAUCUGGAGG